rnacentral:rRNA from 1 species
AUUGAACGCUGGCGGAAUGCUUUACACAUGCAAGUCGAGCGGCAGCACGGGGGCAACCCUGGUGGCGAGCGGCGAACGGGUGAGUAAUACAUCGGAACAUGCCCAGUCGUGGGGGAUAACACUUCGAAAGAAGUGCUAAUACCGCAUACGUCCUGAGGGAGAAAGCGGGGGAUCGCAAGACCUCGCGCGAUUGGAGUGGCCGAUGUCAGAUUAGCUAGUUGGUGGGGUAAAGGCCUACCAAGGCAACGAUCUGUAGCUGGUCUGAGAGGAUGAUCAGCCACACUGGGACUGAGACACGGCCCAGACUCCUACGGGAGGCAGCAGUGGGGAAUUUUGGACAAAGGGGGCAACCCUGAUCCAGCCAUGCCGCGUGAGUGAAGAAGGCCUUCGGGUUGUAAAGCUCUUUCGGCAGGAACGAAACGGUGAGCUCUAACAUAGCUCGCUAAUGACGGUACCUGAAGAAGAAGCACCGGCUAACUACGUG